CAGCACCUCAAGUGGUCAGGAUGAUUAUUGGGCCUAAAGCAUCCGUAGCCGGUUUAGUAAAUGCCUGGGUAAAUCGUGUAGCUUAACUAUACGACUUCCGGGUAGACUGCUAAACUUGAGACCGGGAGAGGCUAGAGGUACUCCUGGGGUAGAGGUGAAAUUCUGUAAUCCUAGGGGGACCACCAGUGGCGAAGGCGUCUAGCUAGAACGGGUCUGACGGUGAGGGACGAAGCCCUGGGGCACAAACCGGAUUAGAGACCCGAGUAGUCC
rnacentral:rRNA from 1 species